AGGUUAGCACUCCCCUUGAGAAGAAUGGAAGAGGUCCUAGUGGCCUUUACAACAAAUAUAUGAUUAAGUCAUUGCCACCUGCUUCAUGGCAUCUAACCAAGUGUUUGA
rnacentral:ncRNA from 1 species